GACGAACGCUGGCGGCGUGCCUAAUACAUGCAAGUCGAACGAGAGCAACCGGUGCUUGCACUGGUCAAUCUAGUGGCGAACGGGUGAGUAACACGUGGGUAACCUGCCCAUCAGAGGGGGAUAACAUCCGGAAACGGAUGCUAAAACCGCAUAGGUCUUCGAACCGCAUGGUUUGAAGAGGAAAAGAGGCGCAAGCUUCUGCUGAUGGAUGGACCCGCGGUGCAUUAGCUAGUUGGUGAGGUAACGGCUCACCAAGGCCGUGAUGCAUAGCCGACCUGAGAGGGUGAUCGGCCACAUUGGGACUGAGACACGGCCAAACUCCUACGGGAGGCAGCAGUAGGGAAUCUUCCGCAAUGGACGCAAGUCUGACGGAGCAACGCCGCGUGAGUGAAGAAGGUUUUCGGAUCGUAAAACUCUGUUGUUAGAGAAGAACAAGUGCUAGAGUAACUGUUAGCGCCUUGACGGUAUCUAACCAGAAAGCCACGGCUAACUACGUG
rnacentral:rRNA from 1 species